AUGUCAAAGGGCAAAGAGAAGGUAACCAGCAACAAGCAAUUCAGGUGGCUGCCUCCCAUGCAUGAAAUGAUGCUGAGGAUACUUGCACAAGAGGCUGCAAAGGGCAACAAGCCCUCUAGCACCUUCAGGGCAGGCUCCUUUGCUCUUGUAGCAAAGGAGAUAACUGCCCAAUUUGGGGUUGAGUGCCACCCAUCCUAUGUUGAUAAUCGGAUGCGAACUCUAAGGACCAUGUGGUCUACUAUUGAGAAACUUCGAAAGAAAAGUGGAUUUGGUUGGGAUGACAACCUAAAAAUGAUAACGUGCGAUGCAAAGACAUACCAAGAAGAAGUUAUGGUAUGCCUUCCAACUAUAUUUUCUUAAUAUAAAUGAUAAUAUAUGUUUUUGUCCAAAAAUUGAAAUUUAUAAUGUCAUUCUUUGUUAGGAUUCCAUUGCUUUUGUCAAUUAUUUGGUAUUUUAAAGAGUUGUAAAUGAAAAAAAAAAAAAAAAAAAAGAAAGACAGUCAUAUCUUAGUUUGGAAAUUGAAGGCAAAGAAUUAUUUGAAAAGAUAUUCAAAGUUUCAACCAUAUCCUGCCUAGUACAGUUUACUGUCCAUAGUCCAAGAGUAAUGUCACACCACCAUAUCUAGAUGUUUAAACUCAGCAUCUACUCCAUACCAUGAUUUUAUGUUUAAUUUGAAAAGGAUGGACACCCACUAUAUUUUUCAUAUAAUAACAGAUUUGUUUGUUUAUCAUUGACCUAAAACAUUUACUGACAUGAAUAUUGCAUUGAAUAUAGAAUUUAUGAGUGAAGUGAUUAUUGCAUUGUUAUUAAACGUUCCUUUCUCCCUUACAGGCGCAUCGAAAACGUGCAGAGUUUCUAAACAAGAAAAUAGAGAUGUAUGAUGAGUUAGCUCUUGUCGUGGGGAAGGACACAGCCACAGGUGGCUUUUCAAAGUCCUAUGUAGAUAUUGAAAAUGAGCCAGAUAAUGGCGACAGUGCUGAAUUUGUUGCAGAUAAUGUGGAGGAAGAUGUGGUCGAAAAAGGUAAAAAUGCAGUCGAGUCAUCCACCACUGGGUCGAGAAUUUCCAAGUCCCGCAAAAGAGGGCGUGCACCUUCUACUGCUGAUGAUAGCAUGUUGACUGAUCUGUCUAAUCAGUUGAAGGAAAUAGCUACGGCUCUUAAAGAAAUCAAUCGGGGCCCGGUGGAUUACACAUCUCUUUAUAAUGAGGUUAUGGCUAUGAUGGCGGAUGGGUAUAGCGAAGAAAUGCUCGCAACUGCGCUUGACCAUCUGUGUAAAAAUGAGAAGGUAGCACGGGGAUUUCUAGCCAAGAAUGCUAGGCUGCGAAAGAUAUGGUUGGAUAGUUUUUUUUUCUCACAACUUUGACUUGCUUGUUUCAUGUAGACUGUGACGGUAACUUUAGGAAUUCACUUUUGUUGUAAUACUAGUAUUGAUCUACCAUUGUAAUAUAUAUGUAGUAUUUUGUAUUAUUAGGACGAUACAAUUGCCCAAAUUAUGUAUUUGUACUGUUCAGAUACCAUGAGUAGGUAUCAUUUUUGUACACCAUGGAGGUGUAAUGACAAUGGUGAACGAUGAAUGUGGCUAUUUUUAUAUUAAUAUUAUCGGUAUAUUUAAAUGAUUAUUUUUGAUGUUGAAGUAGAUGAUUAUUUUUGUACUGUUACAGAUAUGAAUACGCAAUGCAGGUGUAUGUUGAAGUGGAUGAUUAGUUUUGUAUUGUUACAGGUUUGUCUAGAUAAUGUAGGAGUAGAAAUUUGUAAGGCAUUUCAUAUUUUCCGUAAAAUUAAUUCACAAACCAAACAUGGAAAUUGAUUUUCCGGAAAAAGUGAAUUUCAUUUUCCGUAAAAUGUUUACCUGAACCAAACAUGAGAAUUGAUUUUCCGUAAAACAAGAAGUAUUUUCCGUAAAAUAUUUGAACGAACCAAACACCAGAAUUGAUUUUCUGUAAAAACGAAUUCCGAAACAACCAAACGCCCUGAAUACAUUUUCCUUUUCCGGAAAAUAGCAUUUCCGGAAAAUAUGUAUUUUCCGGAAAACAUUUUACGCAAAACAAACACAGCCAUGGACUCACACUAGUAACAUCAUUUUAUUAUACAUCUAUCAUAACAUAUCAUCUCCACCGUUGUAAAAGAAUUGUGAAAUCUCCACUGUUGUAAAAGAAUUGUGAAAAUAUUUAUAUCUUAAACUUAUUGAAAUUAAACCAAAAAAGAGUCAUUGGAUAGGAUAUUUAAAUCCAAAAUUUAUUGCCCGCCUUAAAAUUCCUUUUGCUAGAUAAUGAAAUCCACUAUCCAUAUUGCCAUUAGGAUAUCACUUCACCUAAUUCUUCUUACCUGCAAUUCUCCUGGAGUCUCAACUACAAUUCCUGUAUAUGUAGCGUCUAAGAUGCAAUUUCUUCUUUGCUAAAGAAAGUUCACUAUAAGGAAAUGGAAUACUCUGUUGUUCCUGUCAAUGAUAAAGCAACGUAUCAACUCAAACCAUAUUGAAGAAACCACUAUGUAUGCAUAUGGUCCUUAUUACAGCAUUAUUAGUCCCAUAAAAAUGAUGAAAAUGUUGAUUCUUAACCAGUUCUUGAAAGCUUAAAGGAUUAUAAAUAGAUUGGCACUAUGUAGUUUCCGGCAGCACAAUUAACCUCCUAGCCCCAUAAUCAUAUUCUCAUCCCAGUCCCUUAUGGAAAAAACAAUAUCACCACUCCUGUAACGUCCCAGCAAGUCAAAAAAAAAAAAAAAAAAAAAAAAAAAAAAAAAAUAAAAAAAAAAAAAAAAAAAAAAAAAAAAAAAAAAAAAAAAAAAAAAAAAAAAAAAAAGAAAAGAAAAAAAAAGAAAAAGAAAAAGGAAAAGAAAGAAAGAAGAAGAAGAAUAAGGGCAGAUUUUUAAUGGUUCCCAUGUGCCUCCCAACUACCCCACCUACCCCAGCCAUUCCCACCACAUAUCUCACAAUUCUCUCUUUUCUCUCUUUGGCCGGUUGUCUCAUUCUUGUUUCUCUUUUCUUUUUCAUUUUCACUCAACACACCACACAUACACACACUCCUCUCCCUCACUCUCCCACCGGUACACUCCUCAUCAUCCUCUCCACCAUUUUUUCCGGCAAAUCACUGGAAAACCCUCAAGAACAUCACACCUUCACAUAAGUUAUUUGAGGUAAAAGUUCUAAUCUCUUUUGAUGGGUAUUAAUGUUCUUGUUUGAGGUUAUUUUACCCAAGUUUUAAUAAUGAUAUUCAUGUGACUUAAGAGUUUUGGAAAUGAUAUUCAUGUGUUUAUAUGUAUGGGUUUUGGUCUUGGUGGAUGUAUUUGAUGAGUGAGUUAAUGAUUUUUACAAUGAUGGCUAUCUAAGGCUUGUUAUGGUGAAAAUUUAGAGGUUUUGAGUUAUAGUAUGUGAUAGAUGGUGAAUAUAAUUUUUAUUAAUUAUUUGGAGUUAGUUAAAGAUUUAAAUUGUUUGUCUUUGAGAAAAUUAUGAUUUUGGUGUCAUGGGUCACUUGAUGAUGUUAUAUGAAUUCUAUGAGAAGUACUUAUAAAGUGUGGAGGUUCUGAUGUUAGAUAUGACACCUCGAAUGAUUUAUGAGUAUAAAUGGGAGUCUAUGCCUUGCAAAUUAAAUUGUUUUGAGAAAAUUUGGAAGUGGAAUACAUUGCAUGUGAGGUUGAAUACUAGGGUUGCCUAAUUAAGUAAUUAUUUGGCAAUUCCUAAAUUGUGGCUAGAUGCAAUUUCAAGCUCUAUAUUUAUUGUGAUAGGUAUACUUGAUAUUGUUUAGGUUCUAUCUAAUCUCUUUGGAGCUUGGAAAAUUAGGCUUUCGCGGUUGCGAGGUAAGUAGUUUUUUUAAUGGGAUUUUGAAAAAUAACAUAAAUAUUGUUUUUGGAUUAGACACGUUUUUGGAAAUUAUCUAUGGAAACUAUAUUUUCCUAAAAACUACUGUGUCGUAACCUUAAUAUAUAUAUAUAUAUGAUUAUAUAUGAAAAUGCAUCAUAUUUGGUAUUGCAUUUGAGAAAAUGCAUGAAUUGUUGAUAUGAAAGAAUGAGCAUCUUUUAUUUAAUCUUUGAUAAGAAAAUCAUUGAUUUUACUGUAUAUUGAAAAAUUUAGAGAUGCUUAUCUUGUCUUGUAUUAUUUGGGAAAUAUAUGGAAAAUCUUUUGACAAGAAUGAAGUUGAAAACCUUACAAACUUUGUAGAAGUUAGAUUAUUUAAGGUUUUCUGAAACUACCUGAAUAUGAACUAUGUGUUUCAAAGUAAUAUAACCUAUGAGCUUAUGUGGUUUUAACACUAUGCCAUAUGUGAUUUCCCGGUGAUCACCUGAUUUGGUUUUCGUGGUCUUUGUGACAAUGGAAUCAAAUUCAGGUCAGUGCCCUUUCACUUUGGAUGACGUAUUCUUCCCUGCUGUCCAUGGGGGGAAGAGGUUCCUUGAUUGUGUGUGUGUGAGGCUGCUACCCAUGGGGCCAAGAGACCACAUGCAAGAGAGGUCCUAUUUGACGCGCUCUCUCUGCUGCCCAUGUGGGGAGAGAAAAACCUUGAGGGUAUGGGUGAGGCUGCUGUCCAUGGGGCCAAGAGUCUGCAUACCAGAGAGGACAAUAUCAUGUCAGUUAUGAAUGGGUGGAUUUCCUGACCGGUCUAUGUGGUAGUAUGGUAGAUUUGUGAUAAUUUAUCUUAUGCUAGAUAUUAUGGCUUUGGAAAUUGUAUUGUUGAUGCUCACAAAUUAUAAUGUAUAGUUUCAAGGUAUUUACUUUGAGAAACUUUGUGUUUUAUUAUUAAAUCAUUCUUGUCAUAUUAUUAUUAUUGAAUAUGAAACUUGUAUUUCCCCCACCCCCAUUAAAUAUGCUACUUACUGGGCUUUAGCUCAUCCCACCCUUUAACAGUUUUUCAGAUUUAUUAGUUAUAUCUUGGCUAUGGAGCUUACAUCAUUGGUGAUGAUUGGAAUGCUAUGUUAAAUUUGGAGACUUUUGCUAUAAAUGGUUGGUGACUUAAUCUUGCUAAGUUCAAUGAUGCCUUAAUUAAUUGUAUUGGAGGUUGGUCGCUUGAAGUUUGUUAGCCUUUGGCAUGGUAGGCCUAGACUCGAUGUUAAGAUCAUUAUUCUUGAUAAGAUUGUCACUUUGUGUAAUUUAAUCAGAGUUUGUAAUAUAUUCAUGUAUUAUGUGGAAGCACAUGAUUUUUAGUUAUUGUUCGUAAAUGUGUUAUAGAGCUCUGACUUGUAAUGUGGAGAUUUAUGGUUAUACAUUCUUAUCAUGUGGAAAUGAAAGGAAAAUAAAGAUCUCCUAUAGUAGGUUGUCCAAAAAGGAAAAAUCUACAAGUACCCUUGGGAUGUAUUUCUCAUGCUUUGGACCCUUUUGGGUUUGGGGCGUGACACCUGCGGCCUCCAACACAUGGAAACUUCAUUACUGUUCUUAGCAUUGAUGGAGGUGGAAUAAGGGGGAUUAUUCCAGGAAUCAUACUUAGCUUCCUUGAUUCUAAGUUACAGGUUACAAUAUUGUUAUAUACCAGCCAGUUGGCACAUGUCAUCUAUGCGUAUAAAGUUGAAAUAUUAGUUUUCAAUCUAAAGUUCUUAUUUAAUAGGAAAAAGAAAUCAAUCAUUGGUAGCUUGCAUAAUUGGUUUUUUUUUUUUUUUUUUUCCAAAUAAAAAAUGGGUUUGAUUAGUAACUUUCAUCUCAAUAUAGUCACUUACAAGCCAUGCGUGUAGAUUAACUUCCAGAAGACCAUUUGACAAGCUUGAGCUUUAUAAAAAUUGACUAAAGUGGUACUACAUAUAAGUUAUUCAAAAUAGUAAUGGCAAUUAACAUAUGACUAUUUCUGUCACAUGGUUUUUUUUACAUUUUUUACCUUGUGGUGCAGAAAAUUGAUGGCCCUGAAGCUAGAAUUGCAGAUUAUUUUGAUGUGAUCGCAGGGACAAGCACGGGAGGUCUUUUGACUACCAUGCUAACUGCACCAAAUGAAAACAAACGCCCCAUGUAUGCUGCAAAAGACAUCAAGGCCUUCUAUUUUGAUAAUGGACCCAAAAUCUUUCCUCAAGAUCGGUAACAAUUGAGCCUCAAUGUUUUUCAUGCUAUCACUAUGUCUUAUUCCAUAUUAAAUAACACUAUACUAAUCUGCUUAAGCAACAGUUCUCCAUUUGCCCAAGCAACAAAAUUGAUCAAAGCCAUAAUAGGACCAAAAUACGAUGGAAAGUAUCUUCAUGGCCUUCUGAAGGAAAAACUAGGGAAUACUCAAUUACGCCACACACUGACCAAUUUGGUAAUCCCAACCUUUGACAUCAAGCAACUCCAGCCGGCCAUUUUCUCCAGCAAUGAGGUUUUUAAAUUAAUCCAAGUUUUUAACUUUACCUGAAAUUAAUCCAGUCUAAUGAGAAGGAAUUAACACUUCACAUAAACAAAAAAAGAACUAACAUAUAUUUGUAUCCAUGCCUUAAUUAGGUGAAGAACCAUGCACACUAGGAUGCCUUACUUUCAGAAAAUUCAAUCUUAUUGAUGGUGGUGUAGCUGCUAAUAAUCUGGUAAUAAGUUUAGUAUACGUCGCUUUUUUAUUCUCUCCGGAAUCGUACUCUCUUAUCUAUAUCAUUGUCUAAUUCUCAUAUGAUUCUGUAGGCUUUGAUUGCCAUUGGCGAAGGGACAAAAGAGAUUAACCGGGGGAGUCCUAACUUCAGUUCCAUAAAGGCAGCAGAUUAUGGUCGAUUUCUGGUUCUAUCACUAGGAACUGGUUCAACAAAAGUUGAAGAGAAAUACACUGCCAAAGAAGCAUGUCGGUGGGGUAUAUUCGGGUGGUUAACUAGUGGUCACUCUGCCCCAUUGGUGAAUGUGUUCACUCAAGCAAGUGCUGAUAUAGUGGACUUCCACAUUUCUGUUGUUUUUAAAGCUCUCGAUAGUGAAAAUAACUACCUCCGAAUUCAGGUAAUAAUUAAACUUCAAUGCUUAAGUCCAAUGUGUGCAUAUACUACUAUACUCAAGUUUUAUUCAAUUCAGUAUUUCAUUGAUUGAUUUUAACUGAUGCCUUGAGUCCAAAAAGUGCAAGGGAUGUAACUUCAUAGUCAAUACCCAUGUUGGCACAUUAAUAUGAGAGUGAUAAAUUAGUUACCACUUGUUCUAAAAGUUUAAGUCAAUAGAAAAAGACAACUUUAAUUAUUUAAAAAUUAUUUUAACAUUGACAUUUCAGGACGAUACACUAAAGGGAGAAGUGUCUUCUGCUGAUAUUUCCACCAAGGAGAAUAUGGAAAAUCUUGCAAAAGUUGCAGAAUGAUUAUUAAAGAAACCGAUCUCAAGGGUGAACUUAGAGACGGGUAAUCUGGAGCCUACUAAACAUGAGACUAAUGAGGAGGCUCUGAUAAGGUGUAGAUUAUUCAAAUUUUUGUGAAGUAAAAAAAAUCUGCAUUGUUAAUAAUAACAAUAGCUUUUAUCUAAAUAAUGCAGGUUUGCAAAGCUACUCUCAAAAGAGAAGCACUGUCGCGAAACCUCAUCACUGCAGAAAUGA
rnacentral:sRNA from 1 species